UUACCAAAAUAUUUUAGGACUCCUUAAUUUUAAAUAUUAUAAAAAUAAAUAAUAAUUAAAGAAAAUAAGUGAAAAGACAAUUUUGUUUAUUAUAGGGUCUUUUAAUGAAGGACAAAAAGUUCAAAUCACUUUUCGAGAAUCUUCACACUUUUAAUAUAUUAUAAAUAUAGAUUAUAGAUUAUAAAUUAUUGAUAAUAAUUUUAAUCUUAUAGUAUAUAAUGUAAUUUAACGAUGGAGG
rnacentral:lncRNA from 1 species